GAUGAACGCUGGCGGCGUGCCUAAUACAUGCAAGUCGAGCGAGUGGCGGACGGGUGAGUAAUGUCUGGGAAACUGCCCGAUGGAGGGGGAUAACUACUGGAAACGGUAGCUAAUACCGCAUACCAUCGGAUGUGCCCAGAGGGGAUUGUCUAGUAGGGGGGGUAAUGGCUCACCUAGGCGAAUAUCCCUAGCUGGUCUGAGAGGAUGACCAGCCACACUGGGACUGAGACACGGUCCAGACUCCUACGGUAGGCAGCAGUGGGGAAUAUUGCACAAUGGGCGCAAGCCUGAUGCAGCCAUGCCGCGUGUAUGAAGAAGGCCUUCGGGUUGUAAAGUACUUUCAGCUAGGAGGCGUUACUCGCAGAAGAAGCACCGGCUAACUCCGUGCCAGCAGCCGCGGUAAUAC
rnacentral:rRNA from 1 species